UACGUAGGGGGCAAGCGUUGUCCGGAUUUAUUGGGCGUAAAGCGCUCGCAGGUGGUUCGUUGCGUCGGGCGUGAAAGACCCCGGCUCAACUGGGGAGGGUCGUGCGAUACGGGCGAACUGGAGGCCAGUAGGGGGAUGCGGAAUUCCGGGUGUAGUGGUGGAAUGCGUAGAGAUCCGGAGGAACACCAGCGGCGAAGGCGGCAUCCUGGACUGGUCCUGACACUCAGGAGCGAAAGCGUGGGGAGCGAUCCGG
rnacentral:rRNA from 1 species